rnacentral:rRNA from 1 species
AGAACGAACGCUGGCGGCGUGGAUAAGACAUGCAAGUCGAACGAGACUUUUUCCCUAGCAAUAGGGAGAAGGUCUAGUGGCGUAAGGGUGCGUAACACGUGGGCAACCUGCCGAGAAGUGGGGGAUAGCUCGCCGAAAGGCGAAUUAAUACCGCAUGUGGUCAGCGAAACAUUUUCGCCAGACCAAAGCCGGGGCAACCUGGCGCUUUUCGAUGGGCCCGCGGCCUAUCAGCUAGUUGGUGAGGUAAUAGCUUACCAAGGCAAUGACGGGUAGACUGGUCUGAGGAGGACGACCAG